rnacentral:lncRNA from 1 species
CCAAGACCGGCCAUGUUGCUGCUGCUCUUCCCCUGCAAUUUUGCCCCGGACCGUCAGAACGUCGUGCAACGGGACUGCUGCCAGAUCCUGGUGCUUUUUGACUUCUGAUGACUUCAGUUCAAGUCCCAGUUGGGCUCCUGAUCAGCAGGGUAGCUGAUUUCCCAAUGAAGAAAGAGAGGAAAUGUGUAAACUUGUUGAAGUGCUCCACAAGCUCCAGCUUGCAAACCUCGCAGAGGCUGCAGUCCAUCCAGUGCUCAGACUCUCACCUAAUACAACAUACUGUAAGUUGUGAAGAAAUGUGUUUAAGUAUAAAUAGUCUCUACUGGCUUCAGGAAGUAAAACUGUUCCCUUAGUUUAGUCAACAUAUUGCUUGCUGGGGAAGCCGAGAGGCCAAUUUCCUAAGCUCACCAGUGAUUUCCCCCUGUAAAAUGGAAGUUAGCAAUAAUUGUGUGUAUAAUAUUGUCUAUUAGGUAGUGCAUAAAGGCUUGCAUUGUAUGUACAUACUGUAGUUGUAUAGAAAACAUUACAGAGUGAGCCUGCUUUUAGCUUGAUGCCUCAUACAGUGGUAAUUGAGGAGAACAGCCUUUUGAUUUGCUACUAUUUGCAGUUCUGCAGGAAAAACUAAGUUUAGGCUAUCUUGUGCUGUGCAUUGUUGCCCUGUUUAAUCUUCUGAUUCGCUAGGAACAAUUACAUGCGACACCUAUGGAGAAUUUAAUUGCUUAGCUCCUGCCUCUAUGGCAAUUGUAAUUACUGUGCAGUACUAUUUGAAAAAAAAAAACUGUGGUGUUUUUUAGAACAUAGCACUGAAUAAUACCAAGGUUAGAUUCAUACAACAGCAUAGCUCCAAGAAUUAGCUUCCAGAAUUAACCCUGUGUUCUUUUGAUGAGAGCCCAGGCAAAAUAAAGCAACGGUUAUUGUAAAUAUCCUCAUGUAAAGAUUUCUAUACACACUCUUCAAAUGCAUUUAUCCACCAAAUAUAUGUGGGAGUUAGCACAGCAUCUUUUUUCCCCCUCCUUUUCCAGCUGAGGAAACUAAGGCACAGAAAUGUGCUGCCUAAUUUGUCUUUAUGAAAAAUCCAAAGAAGGGAAAAUUAGUAUGUGAAAAAUUUUGAAUUUAUAGCAUUUUCAAGCUCUUUUUACUUCUCAUGGAUGUAGCUUUGAAAGAAACAUAAUAGGCAAAAGAUGUGCCUUUUUAAGCUUUAAAACCCUAAAAAUUUCUGUAAAAUGGAACAUAAUAAAUAAAUGAAUAAAUG